rnacentral:rRNA from 1 species
GACGAACGCUGGCGGCGUGCCUAAUACAUGCAAGUCGAGCGAAGUUUUUCUGGUGCUUGCACUAGAAAAACUUAGCGGCGAACGGGUGAGUAACACGUAAAGAACCUGCCUCAUAGACUGGGACAACUAUUGGAAACGAUAGCUAAUACCGGAUAACAGUAUUUCUCGCAUGAGAGAUAUUUAAAAGUUGGUUAUGCUGACACUAUGAGAUGGCUUUGCGUUGCAUUAGCUAGUUGGUGGGGUAAAGGCCCACCAAGGCGACGAUGCAUAGCCGACCUGAGAGGGUGAUCGGCCACACUGGGACUGAGACACGGCCCAGACUCCUACGGGAGGCAGCAGUAGGGAAUCUUCCGCAAUGGGCGAAAGCCUGACGGAGCAACGCCGCGUGAGUGAAGAAGGAGUUCGGUUCGUAAAGCUCUGUUGUUAGGGAAGAAUGGAUAUGUAGUAACUAUACAUGUAAGAGACGGUACCUAACCAGAAAGCCACGGCUAACUACGUG